rnacentral:rRNA from 1 species
UACGGAGGGAGCAAGCGUUAUCCGGAUUCACUGGGUUUAAAGGGUGCGUAGGUGGGCUAGUAAGUCCGUGGUGAAAUCUCCAAGCUUAACUUGGAAACUGCCGUGGAUACUAUUAGUCUUGAAUAUUGUGGAGGUAAGCGGAAUAUGUCAUGUAGCGGUGAAAUGCUUAGAUAUGACAUAGAACACCGAUAGCGAAGGCAGCUUGCUACACAAUCAUUGACACUGAGGCACGAAAGCGUGGGGAUCAAACAGG